AUCCUCGGGGGAAUAAUCCUUUUUUAUCCCGAGGAAGAAGGAUUUUCACGAAUAAUUUAACAUUACGAAAGAUUCGAAAUAAUCGCUUAUGGAUACUCUCUAAAUUGGAAUUAAAUUAAUUCUAAACAAUAGCCAAGCAGCAAAUGAGCAUUUCUUUGGAUAAUAGUAUUAGAGCAGAUAUUGCCAGGGGCAAUGCAGUUAAAGUUCCAGUUACAUGCAUGCCUUAGUAAUAGCUAUUACGAGUGAAUACACCUCAACUCUCUCUUUCUCUCUCUCUCUCUCUCUCUCUCUCUCUCUCUCUAUCUCUUUAUCUCUCUCUCUCUCUUUCUCUUUGUCUCUCUCUUUGUCUCUCUUUCUCUCUCUCUCUCUCUCUCUCUCUCUCUCUCCAACUCUCUCUCUAUUUCUCUCUCUUUCUCUGCCUCUCUCAGUCAACGUAGUAAAUAUACAGAAUAACAUGAUACCAUCGUCUAUACGAAGCUGCUGUUCACCGAUUCUAUUAUCCGUAAUACGGAAUCAUAAUGUAUUCUUUCUAAAAAGACUAUCAGUAUAUUGUAUAAAGCUAAAGCAAAAACAAUAUCACAGAAAGAUUAAGAUGAUCAAUUUAUCUCGAUAAAUCCCAACGAUAUUACAUUAUAUAUUUUACAAUAUAUUUAUAUAUAUUUAUAUAUAUUUAUUAUGAAAGCUAAUGAUAAAGCGCAUGCAUUAUUUGACAAGUCAUAAAAAUGAUAAAACUCUAAUGAUACGAAUGAGUUAAGAAGCACGAUAUAUUAUCUCGAUAUAUUACGAGUAAAGCAAUCGUUUGCUUUCUUUUUUUUCUUUUUUUCUUUUUUUUUUUUUUUUUUUUUUUAAUCAGCGUGCUGAAAGAAUACGAAAGACUCGAAAGCAAUGUGCCAUCUACUCUCGUAGAUAUACAUGUAAAGCUAAAGAGUUAGACCCAGUGAACUUACAAAUCACUUCGACGAGGACACAUGGCCAACGGGGCAACGACCAGGGGGGAGGCUAAAAGUCAUCGACAAUCGACUACUCACUCUAAAAAAACUUCGGAUUCGCUUCGGGGCAACACCAACCUAGGCAAGACGAUGGCCUUCUUCCUCCUGCUCUUCAAAGUCUGCGUGGAGAAUUGAAAUUCCGUUGAGUUAAUAGGUGAAUGAGGACUAAGUAUAGUGAUCUUUCGAUCGCUGCCACCGGGACUUGUCAAUGAGAAAACGUUUGACGGCGGUGGAAGGCUUAAAUGUUGAGAUUUUCGCUGCUUUUAGACUCGACCUGAGUUAUAAUCCUACGCACGUCCUUGCUCGAUGACGUUAAGAAACUACGAUAGUGACUUUUUGAAGUUGUCAAAUGGGUUUCCGAUGAGGAGGACAAAGAUUCUAAAGACUUUCGUUCGUCGCUAUAACGAUCGUCGGCACUGAGAAAGUUUCUCGAGGAACGCUCAUAAUCUUCCUGACUUGAACUGGAUUGAGGACUUCGUCUACUCAUGAAAAGACCCAAUCUACUACCGGAGUAUCUAGUACUGGUGUUAUGUGUCAUGUCCUCCUCGUUAACACAGAUCGUCGUCGAUGAAAAACGAUGACUACUCUUUUGAUGACCCAUCAAAAGCGACUCGGCUUCUUCAGGAAGAUCAACGGAGUGUCUGUCCGUUCCGGAUAUCCUAUUGCCUUUCUCAUCGAUCACAAGUGGCUCAGGACAUUCCUCGUCCUUAGCACAUCUUGCAAAUCCUUGAUCAAGACGACGACGACGACGACGACGACGACGACGAAGCUGAAAGUCAAGGAUAUUUUACCAGACUGUUUCAAGAAUGCGAACAACGAGUCGAAACACUUGGAAUCACAGAAACGUAUUGGCCUUUGUAUAAUUACUUCGCAAACUAUACCAUGGUAUUUUUCGGGAAAUGAACGUACUUCUUAAGAAAGUUUAUAGUUCGAAUCAAACAAGAAUAAUCCCAUGGAAACUCAAUGUUCUGUUUGAUUAAUGAAUCUUAGCUGUAAACGUGUGUAUCUGUAUUUAUAAUGAAGAAUUAUCUAAAACAAAUAAACCUAGAAUUAACGUAUAAACUCUUUUCAAGAAGGAAAAAUUUCUAAUAAAAAAUUUAUAUACAUAAUCAUACGCGUUUAUCAUUUGAAAUAAAUCGAUCAACGAUCAAUCGUACUGAAUAUUCGAGAGAGUGAAAAAUUAAAAAAAAAAAAAAAAAAGAAUCUAAUAUACACAUUUCGACCCUCUUUUUUUCGCAAAUGAAAGGAAAGAAAGAAGAAGAAAAAGAAAAAAAGAAAAAAAAAGGAAAAUAUCAUUUUCUCGCGUGCUUUUCGUUAGGAAAAGAUAAGAAAAGCUUAGAAUCCUUCUAAUCACCUUUUUUAUUCCCUUCCUUAAUUAUCGCUAUCGUCCCUAUCCUUAGCACGCAUCUGAAAUAAAUAGACUUUUCGUUUCCUGUUUCAAGGAGAACUCAAAUAUCUCUUGGCAUCCUCGAAUCACGUUAUCGCGUGACUGGCACGAAGCCCUUUUUAAAAUACUCUACGAAGUUACACGGCAAUUCUCCCUGAUCCUUCUUCCUCCCAUAAACCGACUUUAAUCGUUUUUGUUCUAUCAAUAGCUCAAUCUCCUUUCUCAUAGAAUAAUGUUUUACGCAUUUCCAAAGUUCUAUCUUCCUUGAAAUUUUCGCAGCUAUUACAUAAUAAGUCCAAUUAUUGUUAUUAUCCUUACGAUAACAAAAAGAAAUACUUUUGUAUGGGACCUAUGUGAAAAUUCAAUUAAAUUCAACGUAAUGAUUAGAUAACGUGACAUAAGACAUUGUUACGUUUACAUUGUUAAUUCGUAACAGCUGAUUUUGACAACGUAUCACAUGUACAACAACGCCCUCGUAAUUGUUCUUUCUAUUUUCUUUUUUUUUUCUCUCCACCAAAAUCAUCUAUGUAGCAACAUAAUAGAAGACAAAAUUCUAACGGAUUUAAAAAUAAAUCAAAAGAAAGGGAUAAUGUAUGAAUGAAACAUAAUCGAGUUCAACGAUUCAACGUAAUAAUUCAAGCAUGUAAUUCCAUGAUUCAUGUACGUUAUCUCUUUCACGUGAGAUUCGAAUGGAUUCGUUCGUAACAAUGGCCGCGUGUGAAACAAUGAAAACAAUGAGAAAGAGAGAGAGAGAGAGAGAGAGAAAGAGAGAGAGAGAGAGAGAGAGAGAGAGAGAGAGAACGACGUCCUAUGUUCCUAUAAUCACACACAUAUUGUAUAUUUUUAUUCUUUUAUCUUUUAUUUUUACAAAGCAAAAGAAAUGAAAGAAGAGAAGAAAGUUUUAAAGCAGACGAGUUCGUAAAAAAAAAGAAAAAAAAAUAAAGUAACAAAAAACUACUGAACGUCUACUACUCUAACGGAUGGCUCCUAAGAGAUAUUUCUCCGAACUUAUGUGAACGAAGAUCUCUCAAGAGAGUUGCCGAUAAUAUCGUAACUUUAAUGUACGAUAUUAUGUAUAAAAGUGCUAACCUUCAUCCCUCUUGUCCUAUCGAAUUGAAUUUGAAAUCUGAAAGAGUUUAAAAUGAUAUCGGUUUUGUAAAAUGUUUUCUUUUUUGUGAAUGAAUUUGAUGAAAUUUAAAUACGUUCGAAAAAAUGUUCAAUCGAGAUUAUAUCUGCUCGAAGAACAACUCUGGUAGACCAAUUGACUGUGAUUGUUUUCGAUAUCCCAAUGGAAUUACGUAUUUUCGAUUUUAUUUUAUUUUAUAUAUACAAAAAACGAUUUACUCUUGUUUACGUCGAUGUCGUACGCUUUUAUUUACGAUCUUUCCUUUAUAUAUAUAUAUAUAUAUUAUU